rnacentral:lncRNA from 1 species
GAGCAGCUGCAGGGAAGGAGGCUGAUGAGUUGGGGAAGUUUGGGUGGGGUAGGGGAGGCAGGCAGGCAAGGACACUGACAUUUCAACAGCUGCUUUGUGGUCGCGAGGGGGCCCGGAGGCCAGCGGAUGCAUUGGUGUGCUAAUAGAUACCACGGAUUGUUAUUUGUGCCUUUUGGAACUUGGGAAAAUGGAGUUUCUUUUGGACCUGUCAAGCAUCUGGCCCCUCAAGAAUUCUGUCCUUACUUAAGCUGUAAUGUGAAGUCUUCAGUUUUAGUCCAUCUCUUUAAAUUGAUUGCAAGGGCUUAACCGAAGAGAUUGACCCCCGUGGGUUUUCUAAGGAGGUUUCAGCCUUGGCUCUGCUGAGCGAACUGAGUUUGCUUCUUGUCAGGAAGUCUCUGCUUCCUCCUACAUCUCACAGGCUGUCACCCCUGAGCUAGUCAAGCCUGAGCUCGCGGCUCCACACCUCCCUCCAUGUCUCAUCGUUAUUAAAUCAAAGCACCUUUUGACUUGAAGCAGCCAGGCUAUUUCUGCCUCCUUCCACCCUGAACUGUCUCCAGUGAGAGAGGAAACUUUGUGAGAGUUGAGUUUCAGAUAGUCUCAAGAUCUGGAUUUAAUGUGGUAUCAGGGAGUUUGGGAAACAAGCCCACGAUCCAAGGGGAAGGCAGGUAGGUCUGUAACUAAGACAUGAAAAACACAAGAAGCUGGAAUGAGGUUUCUGUUUGAAACCAGCCACUCUCUAUUGCAGUGCAAUGACACAGGAAGACCCUCCACUCCCUAUGUUCAUAUACGUGUAUAAGUUAUUUACACUCUCAACAGUAGGGGAGUCAGCAGUUAGGUAGGAAUGACAGGGGAAACCUGAACAGGGGAAACCUAUUGUCUGGAUCUAUUCAUACUCUGUCUGCAUGGAAAGUUUCAAAUUGAGAGCUUUGAGAAAUGGCCUCAGGGGACACAUCAAGUCUACAGUUGUCAGGUCUUUCCCUUUUUCUGUUACUGCUUGGUCGCCAUCAAUAAGUUUUCCCAUCAGGACCAGAAGUUAAUAAAAAGGAGUGGUACCCAGAGACAGCCACCAGUGUUUGCAGAGUUGGCACCACAGGGCCCCGACUUCUGCCAUCCCUAGGCUGUGCAGCUGGUGCAAAAGGACCAGAGAGAAAAUACUACUUUAGAAAUGGUGGGAAUGGCUGCUGUGCCUCACGCCGAGCUCCUGAGGACAGCACACGUGGCUCACUGAACACUGUCAGCAGCUUAUUUUCUCUGAUGGUUGUUGGAGCAUCGAUAUCGAGAAAAUGACUUCCUUAGUGGAGAGAUGUUGGAGAAAACUAAACUCAAACUGCAAAGUGGAGGUGGGAUGAAAAGUUCUGAAAUAACAUAAUGGAAGGACAGCAAGAUGGAACCCAGGGUGACCUGAAGCAAAUGGAGGACAUAGUCAGGACCCAAGUGAACAGGUACCUCGGAGUCAGUGACACAGUGUUCAUCUCGAGAGCCAGGCCUGCCAUCCACGUCCGUGCACCCUGUCCCAGCAGAUGAACACAACUGUGUCUCGGGCAGAUCACAUGUUCAUCAGAACGAGAGGAACGUCUCAGGGAAGUUUCGUCCUUCAUUCUCCACCUGAUGAGUGAUUCUGGUUGCUCCUGUUUGGGGAAUCGCCAUCUGAUUUUGUGUAGUGCUGAUGACAAGA